UACGUAGGGUGCAAGCGUUAAUCGGAAUUACUGGGCGUAAAGCGUGCGCAGGCGGUUUUGUAAGUCUGUCGUGAAAGCCCCGGGCUCAACCUGGGAAUUGCGAUGGAGACUGCAAGGCUUGAAUCUGGCAGAGGGGGGUAGAAUUCCACGUGUAGCAGUGAAAUGCGUAGAGAUGUGGAGGAACACCGAUGGCGAAGGCGGCUCACUGGGUCAUUACUGACGCUGAGGCACGAAAGCGUGGGGAGCAAACAGG
rnacentral:rRNA from 1 species